rfam:Otolemur garnettii contig178328, whole genome shotgun sequence.
CUUCCCCUUUUAUCACUUUUUAUCUUAGUAAUAGACUUCAGUGGUUAGAUGCUUAUGGGAUAGAUUAAAAUUGUCAUGAUCUGAAAAGGGAGGUUUUAUUUACUUAUUUAUUUGUUUGUUUGUUUUGGUAUUCUUAUUCUAUAUGCAGUGGCUGGACAGAAAUUU